CGAGCCGACCGGGCGGCCGCGGUACCUCCGGCCAGGCCGGGGGGCUGAGGAACGUCCGGGCUCCACAGAGCAGGGCGGUGGCUAACGGCCACCCGGGGUGACCCGCGGGACAGUGCCACAGAGAACAGACCGCCGUCGGCCUGCCGAUGGUAAGGGUGAAACGGUGGGGUAAGAGCCCACCAGCGCUGCAGGUGACUGCGGCGGCUAGGUAAACCCCGCCCGGAGCAAGACCGCACAGCAGACGUCCGAGGGCUGCUCGCCCGAGCCUGCGGGUAGGUCGCGUGAGGCCACCGGCAACGGUGGUCCAAGAUGGAUGGUCGCCGCCGCCAGGUCGUGAGGCCCGGCGGUAACAGAACCCGGCGUACAGGUCGGCUCGUCCG
rnacentral:RNase_P_RNA from 1 species